UACGGAGGGUGCAAGCGUUAUCCGGAUUCACUGGGUUUAAAGGGUGCGUAGGCGGGCAGGUAAGUCAGUGGUGAAAUCUUCGAGCUUAACUCGGAAACUGCCGUUGAUACUAUCUGUCUUGAAUACCGUGGAGAUGAGCGGAAUAUGUCAUGUAGCGGUGAAAUGCUUAGAUAUGACAUAGAACACCAAUUGCGAAGGCAGCUCGUUACACGAAUAUUGACGCUGAGGCACGAAAGCGUGGGGAGCAAACAGG
rnacentral:rRNA from 1 species